UACAGAGGGGGCAAGCGUUAUUCGGAAUUAUUGGGCGUAAAGAGCGUGUAGGCGGCCAUGUAGGUCCGGUGUGAAAACUCGAGGCUUAACCUCGAGAUGUCAUCGGAAACCAUUUGGCUAGAGUCCGGAAGAGGAGAGUGGAAUUCCUGGUGUAGCGGUGAAAUGCGCAGAUAUCAGGAAGAACACCGAUGGCGAAGGCAGCUCGCUGGGACGGUACUGACGCUGAGGCGCGAAAGCGUGGGGAGCAAACAGG
rnacentral:rRNA from 1 species